AGUCUACUUCUUUCGUUUCAAAUUACUUGUCGCAGGUAUGGAUGUAUCUAGAUGUAUUUUAGUUUUAGAUAUAUUCAUUUCUGUGACAAGUAAUUGGGAAUGGAGGGAGUAGGUU
rnacentral:pre_miRNA from 1 species